AGAGCAAGCUAAAUCUACAAUUUUAUGCGUAUUUGUAAGCUGAAAGUUACAGAUCAUGUCUAUGGUUUUGUUUAAUUAUCAUCCUUAACUCAUUUAUCCCAAUUUUAAUUCUUCAUAAUUAAAUUAAUGUUGCAAUACACAAAUAUACCAACUUUUGAUAUCAAAAAUAGUGGGCGUGUCUCCAUAUUUAUGUAUUUGUAUUAUGUGUUUCAUACGCUUAACAAAUCAUGUAUGUUGAGAUGUUGUCUUCUUGCUGUUCAAGUUUAGUUAGCUGCACUUCUACAUGAUAUAGGUAAUGAUGCUUUUUCCCUUUCAUAAUAGUAGAGAAAUGUAAAAAGGAUUUGAGGAUACUUAUUUUUCUUUUAAGUUUUUGGAGAUUUUUCUUCUUUAUUUCUUUUUUUUUGCUUUAUUAUUUUGAGGAUAGAAGUGUUUUGUUUAGGGUUUUGGAUCCAUACCUAUAUGUUUAUGUUUCGGAAAAUUGUGAAUCGCGAUUACUUAUUUGAGACACUGGUCACUUAAGUAUGCUGCGAUCACUAUGCUCUGCCAGUUGAUUCUGCACUUGGAGCAAGGAUAUGAGAGUUGAUAGUUUGGGUUUGUCGGAUGAUGGACUUAUUUUUGAGUUUGGCAUAUUAGUUCAUGAAUAUAAGAUGAAUAGCUUAAUUAACUAAUGAUUAUCUGAAUAGUUUGGCCUACCUUUCAAUAUGCAUUAUAAACGUAGCAUUGUGGUGUAUUUGACGGCAAUAAUGGAACAUCUAUGAACACAACAUUCUGAUCUAUACAUCAUUACGGAUAACACGAAUUUGGUGUCUUCUACGACAUGUAUCAUGUUUCCUCUUUUUACUUCCAAAUGAAGAUGGUUGUGGAUUGAGUUGUUGUGCGGAUGCCAUAUGGUCUUUUAUUAAGCUUUUAAGCUCUAUGAAGCUACUAAUAUAUAUGCUGUGCUGUUAUUAAUUUUAUGCUAACAUCGUAAUAGUUGAGAUGUUGUCUUCUUACUGUUCAGGUGUAGUUAGCUGCACUUCUACAUGAUAUAGGUAAUGAUGCUUUUUCCCUUUCAUAAUAGUAGAGAAAUGUAAAAAGGAUUUGAGGAUACUUCUUUUUCUUUUAAGUUUUUGGAGAUUUUUCUUCUUUAUUUCUUUUUUUUUGCUUUAUUAUUUUGAGGAUAGAAGUCUGUUGUUCAAUUUCUUUCAAGGAUCUUACUUAUCAAAUGUUGUACUGCACUGGUCAUAACUUAACGUCACACUGUUGUAUUCUUGGAGUUACCCACGAACCCUGCUGAUAUUCAACAAGUGCCUUUGUAUUUCUGCCACAGAACUUCAUUCUGUAAUGUCAUUAAUGGUUUUGCUGAUUUGCAAUAAUUGAGUAUAUGAUGCUGAUAGAAGUGAGG
rnacentral:lncRNA from 1 species